GUCGAGAAUCUUUCACAAUGGGGGCAACCCUGAUGGAGCGACGCCGCGUGGAGGAUAAGGUCUUCGGAUUGUAAACUCCUGUCAUGCGUGAACAAGGUUGCUUGGUUAAUACCUGGGCAAAUUGAUGGUAACGCAAGAGGAAGAGACGGCUAACUCUGUGCCAGCAGCCGCGGUAAUACAGAGGUCUCAAGCGUUGUUCGGAAUCACUGGGCGUACAGGGUGCGUAGGUGGCGUGGUAAGUCAGAUGUGAAAGCCCGGGGCUCAACCUCGGAACUGAAGCCGAUACUGCCAUGCUAGAGUACUGGAGAGGUGACUAGAAUUCUCGGUGUAGCAGUGAAAUGCGUAGAUAUCGAGAGGAAUACCAAAGGCGUAGGCAGGUCACUGGACAGUUACUGACACUGAGGCACGAAGGCCAGGGGAGCGAACGGGAUUAGAUACCCCGGUAGUCC
rnacentral:rRNA from 1 species